CCGACCUCAGAUGAUCCACCCCCUUCGGCCUCCCAAAGUGCUGGGAUUACAUGGUAAGCCACCGCGCCCAGCCUCUAUGCUUUCUUUCAAAGGGUACAUACAAUGCAUAGGAUUUGGAGAGGUGGGGAAGUGUGGAGAGAGAAGGUGUUUUUAAGAAUUUGGCAUGGAAGGACAAGCACACCUUAAUCCUCUUCCAGGCUCAACCAAAUUCCAUUCUGAAGUGUUUAAAAGCAAAGCUUUGGAAUCAGACACACCCAGGACACCAUAUGGAAACUCUUGCACAGUGCUGGGCCCAGAGGACUGCCUCUUCCCAGCUUUGGAAUCAAUUCCCUGGGACUCCUGGGAGACCAGCACCUGACGGUCAGAUAGCUUAUGAGGAGAUUUGGCCCACAGAGACCAUAAGUGCCCUCAAGCAACAAGAAAGGUGCACCCA
rnacentral:lncRNA from 10 species